rnacentral:rRNA from 1 species
GCGGAAAAUUACCGGGGCUAAGCUAUACACCGAAAUUGCGGAUUUACAUUUGAAAGACAAUGUAAGUGGUAGAGGAGCAUUCUGUAGUAGGAAGAAGCAUGACCGUAAGGACAUGUGGACGAAGCAGAAGAGAGAAUGCUGGAAUAAGUAGCGAGAGGAUGGUGAGAAUCCAUCCCGUCGAAAAUCUAAGGUUUCCCAGGGAAGGUUCGUCCGCCUGGGGUAAGUCGGGACCUAAGGAGAGGCCGAAAGGCGUAUCUGAUGGAUAGCAGGUUGAAAUUCCUGCACUACGAAUAUACUUAAAAGAUUCAAGGGACGCAGAAGUGGAAGAUAACCAAGUAAGAGGAAAAGCUUGGCUCGCAAGAGGGAGUGAAAAUUAAAAGUAACGAAGUAUCAAGAAGCACGCUGACGAGAAAAGCUUGAAGAUAUUGUAUAUAAGUACCCGUACCGCAAACCGACACAGGUAGAUGAGGAGAGGAUCCUAAGACGAGCGGGAGAAGCAUUGUUAAGGAACUCGGCAAACUAACCCCGUAACUUCGGAAUAAGGGGUGCUGAUGUAACAGUCAGUCGCAGAGAAAAGGCCCAAGCAACUGUUUAACAAAAACAUAGGUUUCUGCUAAAUCGAAAGAUGAAGUAUAGGAGCUGACGCCUGCCCAGUGCUGGAAGGUUAAGGGAAAGAGUUAGGGUUAAACCGAAGCUUAGAACUGAAGCCCCAGUGAACGGCGGCCGUAACUAUAACGGUCCUAAGGUAGCGAAAUUCCUUGUCAGGUAAGUUCUGACCCGCACGAAAGGCGUAAUGAUUUGGGCGCUGUCUCGACAAUGUCCCCGGCGAAAUUGUAGUACUAGUGAAGAUGCUAGUUACCUGCGAUAAGACAGAAAGACCCCAUGGAGCUUUACUGCAGUUUGAUACUGGGUUUCGAUGAUUUAUGUACAGGAUAGUUGGGAGACUAUGAAAGAGAGGCGUCAGCUUCUCCGGAGUCGUUGUUGGGAUACCAACCUUAAGUUAUUGAAAUUCUAACUUGUAAUCGUAAACCGGUUAGAGGACAAUGUCAGACGGGCAGUUUGACUGGGGCGGUCGCCUCCUAAAGAGUAACGGAGGCGCCCAAAGGUUUCCUCAGCGCGGACAGAAAUCGCGCGAAAGAGUGCAAAGGCAGAAGGAAGCUUAACUGAGAGACAGACAUGUCGACCAGAUACGAAAGUAGGGCUUAGUGAUCCGGUGGUUGUAAAUGGAAAUGCCAUCGCUCAACGGACAAAAGUUACCCUGGGGAUAACAGGCUUAUCUCCCCCAAGAGUUCACAUCGACGGGGAGGUUUGGCACCUCGAUGUCGGCUCAUCGCAUCCUGGAGCGGAAGUACGUUCCAAGGGUUGGGCUGUUCGCCCAUUAAAGCGGUACGCGAGCUGGGUUCAGAACGUCGUGAGACAGUUCGGUCCUUAUCU